AGCUGCUGCGGUGGAGCUCAGCCCCAGGCAGGAUAGCCACCAAGCGGUGGCAGCAUCUGAAGUGACCUGUACUUCGUCUUACUCAUAUUACUAGCUUCCAACAACUCAGACAUCAAGUAUGUGCCUGUUUAGAGCCAAAGGAAUUGAUCUCGUGCCACUGAGCUCUGCCAACAGGAAGAACUGUAAAAUCUCACGGCUGCUGAAAGCAUCCAAAACCGGGAGAGGAAUGAGAUUAGUCCUAAGACAGUUUUUACCGCUGUCCCCUCAGGGGAAAAAAAUGGCUUGAGAAAACCAGA